CGCGGCGGGGCUGCGGCUGCUCCUGCUGCUGAGGGAGCGGCGGAGGUGGCCGCCUUGCGCCUCCCUGGACUUCCCAAGUCGGGGCAGAGCAGUCGCUCGGGGACACGACGGUUAGAAGGCUCAGGGUAAGGGGAACCUUCAGACUCCUCCUCGGUGUCUCUUCUCCGCCCCCUUUUGGCUCCUGUCCUUGGAGAAAGUGGAGUGUGGCACUUGGUUGUAGUUAUUUCCUCGGACUGCUGCCGGUGCACGGAUUCAGCUGCUGCCCAGUGGAGCUUUCGGCUGUUUGCGCGUCUCUCUGCGCUGUCCCCUCUGGCACACCUCUGUCGACGGUGAGGAAAGGUCUGCGGCGACAGCGGCCGCUGCGGACUGGGACUGGGAUACGUGCUGCAAGUGCUCCUGCUACCUGCCCUGGCCCUGCUCAGCGCCAACGGCACCGGUUCCCCGCUCAAGACGCCUCUCGUCCCCGAGGAGGUCCUGCUCCGGUGUUCUUCUGCAGCCUCCAGAGUUCAUCUGUCCAUUUUACAAAGGAAUGUCCAGUGAGAAUCACAGCUUGGUGUGGUUUUCCUGAAAUUGGUAAGGAGCUCUCAGGGCGCAGCCGAGGAGGCUUAGAGAGGGGUGUUUGGAAGCUGAAGUGAGCAACCCGAUGACCAGUCGUGGAAUCCACCGCGUGACUCCCUGUGGAAUUCGCCUGCUGUCAUUGGGCGUACAAAGGACUGAGCCCGGGGUAUGGGUGCAGGGGAGACGGGCGGUGAUGGGACAGGGUGAGAGAACUGCUUGGAAAAGGGACAAGUUAAAGUAUCCAAAGAUGCCAAACAGGAGACAGGAUCCCUGGUGAGAGCUUGCAACAGCCGAAUUAAAAAGACUGGGUAGAAAAAGGAUCAGAAAAGAUAAUCAAACAGGAGAUUGUAAAUGGAUUAAUACUGAAAGAAAACGGGAAAAGAGAUUAAAAGAAAAACGCUCAGGAUGUCGAGACUGUUUCCUUCUUGCACUUUUUCUUUUUAUGGACUAGGCAAGUCAGAGAUUGAGGAUUGAUGCUGAUCUUAAGCAGAAAAAAUAAAAUGUACUCCGUGGAGCGAGUGCAUUUCAGAGCGGUUCUUCUCCAUUUGGUUUAUUUAGUUCCUUCAGUUACUGGUGAAUAGGAUUUUUGUUUGAAUCUUGUUUUCUGUGAAAUGCACUGUUCCACCACUUUUAUCUUUGCUACCCGCCGUGUUCCAGGGCACUAGCUCUUCUGUAUUGUCUAAGUAUCAAAGGAAGUGUAAAGCACCAAACUCCACUGUCAGCUGCUGUCACCAUAGCUCUAACUUUACCCCAGCCUGUCUACUAGUGAACCACUAUUACUUCCUUUCUGCUCUCUUUGGACUAGAGCACUAGCCCAUACUCUCAAGGUACGACUUCCUUGUGCUCCUGAUUUAAAGAUGGGAAGAAACUAUGGAAGUACA